GAGUAACACGUGACUAACCUACCUCCGAGUGGGGAAUAACUCCGGGAAACCGGGGCUAAUACCGCAUAACAUCGCAAGAUCAAAGCAGCAAUGCGCUUGGAGAGGGGGUCGCGGCUGAUUAGCUAGUUGGCGGGGUAACGGCCCACCAAGGCGAAGAUCGGUAUCCGGCCUGAGAGGGCGCACGGACACACUGGAACUGAAACACGGUCCAGACUCCUACGGGAGGCAGCAGUGGGGAAUUUUGCGCAAUGGGGGAAACCCUGACGCAGCAACGCCGCGUGGAGGAUGAAGCCCUUUGGGGCGUAAACUCCUUUCGACCAAGACGAUAAUGACGGUACUGGUGGAAGAAGCACCGGCUAACUCUGUGCCAGCAGCCGCGGUAAUACAGAGGGUGCAAGCGUUGUUCGGAAUUAUUGGGCGUAAAGGGCGCGUAGGCGGUGCGGUAAGUCACCUGUGAAAUCUCCCGGCUUAACUGGGAGCCUGCAGGCGAAACUACCGUGCUGGAGUGUGGGAGAGGUGCGUGGAAUUCCCGGUGUAGCGGUGAAAUGC
rnacentral:rRNA from 1 species